CCCCGCUUGCCGCCCGGCGGCGACGGCGCCCGCAGCUGGGUGCGGCGCGAACGGCCUUCCGCACCUCCUCCGGCUGAUUCCCCGUCACCCUUCCCCCCAAAGGCAAAUCGCUGGAGCAUCCCACACGGUCGGUCGGUCAUCGGACUUGCAGAGGCAGGCGCAGGACGCGCGCGAGACGGAGACGUACGGUGCCUGGACUGUUGAAAGCCGCAGAGGAGGCGGAGGAGGAAGCUCCAGAAAGAAAUCCCGAUCCCCACCGGAGGCCGCAACCCUAGCCGCGCGACUCCGGAUUCCGAAUCCAGGUCUCCCCCCAUGGCGCUUCGCAGUCUGGCGACGAGGAAGUGGAUCCCCCCCGGCGGCCGGGGCCCUCAAUGCUAGCGGCGGCACGGUCUCGGUUCCUCGGCACCACCCCCGGCCAGGCUGAACAGCGUGCCAAUGGAAGCGCGGAUGCAGCUCGUCCACUCGAGAGUUUGGAUGGUGAGUGAGUGAAGAGCUGUACAAAAUAGGAGAAGUUCUAAGGCAGCGCAAUGAGGAGCUGGAAAAAGUGUAUGUCGAGCUCAAAUGGAUUGCAAAGUGGUACGCGUGUACGAUAGUUGGGGUGCCUCUUUUGGUAUGGAGUGUCGACUGUCUGUCGAGAUCUGACUGACGAGCAGCUAGCAAAUGAAAGCCUCUCUUAACUUAUAUAUCCGGCCAAGGUGUUGUAUGGUGUCUCCUUUUAUCAGCUGUCGUGUCCUUUUAAGAACUGUAUGACAUCACUCCAUGCAUCACUACUGUAUGAAGAAUCAUAUGUACCGGCUAAGAGCAUCUCCAGAAAGCCUCGUAAAACUCAGCGGGACAGGUAUAA